rnacentral:rRNA from 1 species
AGCGAACGCUGGCGGCAGGCCUAACACAUGCAAGUCGAACGAAGUCUUCGGACUUAGUGGCGGACGGGUGAGUAACACGUGGGAACGUGCCUUUAGGUUCGGAAUAACUCAGGGAAACUUGUGCUAAUACCGAAUGUGCCCAUCGGGGGAAAGAUUUAUCGCCUUUAGAGCGGCCCGCGUCUGAUUAGCUAGUUGGUGAGGUAAAGGCUCACCAAGGCGACGAUCAGUAGCUGGUCUGAGAGGAUGAUCAGCCACAUUGGGACUGAGACACGGCCCAAACUCCUACGGGAGGCAGCAGUGGGGAAUCUUGCGCAAUGGGCGAAAGCCUGACGCAGCCAUGCCGCGUGAAUGAUGAAGGUCUUAGGAUUGUAAAAUUCUUUCACCGGGGACGAUAAUGAUGGUACCCGGAGAAGAAGCCCCGGCUAACUUCGUGCCAGCCGCCGCAGUAAAAC